AUUGAACGCUGGCGGCAUGCCUAACACAUGCAAGUCGAGCGGAGCGGCGGACGGGUGAGUAAUGUCUAGGAAUCUGCCUGGUAGCGGGGGAUAACUACGCGAAACGGGCGCUAAUACCGCAUACUAUUGGAGCGGCCUAGGUCGGAUUAGCUAGUUGGUGGGGUAAAGGCCUACCAAGGCGACGAUCCGUAGCUGGUCUGAGAGGAUGAACAGGCACACUGGAACUGAGACACGGUCCAGACUCCUACGGGAGGCAGCAGUGGGGAAUAUUGGACAAGGGGCGAAAUCCUGAUCCAGCCAUGCCGCGUGUGGGAGGAAGGUCUUCGGAUUGUAAAGCACUGUUAGUUGGGAAGCGUUACCUACAGAAUAAGCACCGGCUAACUACGUGCCAGCAGCCGCGGUAAUAC
rnacentral:rRNA from 1 species